rnacentral:rRNA from 1 species
UACAGAGGGGGCAAGCGUUGUUCGGAAUUACUGGGCGUAAAGGGCGCGUAGGCGGCCCGCUAAGUCGAACGUGAAAUCCCCGAGCUCAACUCGGGAACUGCGUCCGAUACUGGUGGGCUUGAAUCCGGGAGAGGGAUGCGGAAUUCCAGGUGUAGCGGUGAAAUGCGUAGAUAUCUGCAGGAACACCCGUGGCGAAAGCGGCGCGCUGGACCACUACUGACGCUGAGGAACGAAAGCUAGGGGAGCAAACAGG